AAAGACCACUUAAUUCAGCAAAGUAUUGAUUGAGCAACUGUCAUAUCACUUUGUUUCGUACUGUGAACUUUAUUCCUUAAUUCGCAAACCUAUGCAUCAUUACCCAUUUAAGAGUAGGUUUAGAACACUGCACUCCGAAUGGAAGCUGCACUAUCCAACAAUAAAUAUUCAUGAGCUAUCUAAGGCUGCAAGGAAUUGAUAAGCAAAGACAUUACAAAAGAGUUCUCUGAUCCCCAUUGGUUAUAGGUUGAGCUAAUAGUUUCAGGUUUUGGUUUAUCUCCAAUAAUAAACCCCUGUAGUCCUAA
rnacentral:misc_RNA from 1 species